GACGAACGCUGGCGGCGUGCUUAACACAUGCAAGUCGAACGAAGUGGCGAACGGGUGAGUAACGCGGAAUCAACCUGCCCUUCAGAGGGGGACAACAGUGGGAAACGACUGCUAAUACCGCAUACUGAAGGAGGGGAUUGCGUCGGAUUGGCUAGUUGGAGGGGUAACGGCCCACAAAGGAGAUGAGCAGUAGGUGGUCUGAGAGGAUGAACGGCAACAUUGGGACUGAGAAACGGCACAGACUCAUACGGGAGGCAGCAGUGGGGAAGCUUCCGCAAUGGACGAAAGUCUGACGGAGCAACGCCGCGGGAGUGAUGACGGCCUUCGGGUUGUAAAGCUCUGUUAAUCGGGACGCGGUACCGGAAUAGAAAGCCACGGCUAACUACGUGCCAGCAGCCGCGGUAAUUC
rnacentral:rRNA from 1 species